CAGCGCCACGAGUGGGGAUCCUGUUUAUUUGGCCUAAAGCGUCCGUAGCUGGUUUAGUAAAUCUCUUGUGAAAUCGUUCGGCUUAACCGAACGGCGUGCAGGAGAGACUGCUAAGCUAGGGACUGGGAGGAGUUAGAGGUAUGCCAAGGGGAGCGGUAAAAUGCUAUAAUCCUUGGUGGACCACCUGUGGCGAAGGCGUCUAACUAGAACAGGUCCGACAGUGAGGGACGAAGGCUAGGGGAGCGAUCCGGAUUAGAUACCCGAGUAGUCC
rnacentral:rRNA from 1 species